rnacentral:misc_RNA from 1 species
AUUGGGAGCAGAAUACAUCAGUGUAUUUUAAGAAAAAAAAACCACCUGAGCAAUUUUAUUGCCUGUUGGAUCUCUUAGACUAGUAAUUUUAUCAACAGGGUUUAAAAUCAAUUUAUGGUUGCAUGUAAAAUAAUGAUAUUAUCGAAUCUGGCCUUCCUUUCUAUUUAUCAGCAAACACCUUGUGCAUAUGAUCUGUCUUUUAUUUUUUGUUUAGUUAUUUGGUCUCUUAAUAUGGAGAAAUUCUGAUAACUUAGGUACCAUGAAUGAAAUUGUCUAUAACAUUCAUCUUUAUGCAGCUUUGCAACUCAGUAAUCAUUGGGAUUAAAAGAUGGGACUUCUUAAGUCAGAGGGCUUCUCU